rnacentral:lncRNA from 1 species
CUGCUGAGCAAACUGCUUCCCUGUCAGCGCGGUGCCGUUCCCACCCCAGUUCUCGUGUGAAACAGUUGUGAGUAGGUCCACAUCGCUCCUGGAAAUACACUGCUGAGGUAUUCAGCAAAAAGCAGAGCAUCCAACCUAAUUCUUCUCUCCUCUGAAUGUUUCUGUUCUCUUAUGCUGCCUAAAUGAGACAGGUGGAAGACAGCUUUAAUUAGGACUUGGCCAUAAAGCACCAGGAUGUUAUCAACAAGAUCACAUGCAAAGGGACACCUUACCCCUCUGAGCAAGAGGUGCUGGGCUGGUGCCAAGCCCAGGGAAAGCCAGCAAAGUCCCUGCGAGCAGCAGCAAAGCUGAAAGUUGUCUCGGAGGAAAUUGCUAGACCAAGACAGGGAUUUGUUCCUGCUUUAUGUUCGUGUUCAGCCUGGGAAGCUGAAGUCUUCCAAGGAAGCAACCAAGUGAGUUUUAUCGUCUUCGCAGUGUCUACAGCAGCUUCUCUAGAAAGCAUUAUCUGUUCAGGGGAUUUAGAGAUUAACAGCAUGGCCAG